UAUUGAAUUGGCCAAAAAGUUUGUACAAGUUUUUCCCAUAACAUCUUACAGAAAAACCCAAAUGAACUUUUUGGCCAACCUAAU
rnacentral:miRNA from 1 species